rnacentral:lncRNA from 1 species
GCAUCUUUCACGCCAAACUCUUUUGAAAACUUUCCACACCCAUGCCCCUGUUCCCUGCUGCUAGCCUGCUGUUCAAGAAAGUGUUUUUAUAUUUACUCUUCUUCUGUAUAUGGUGUGAAAGGAAAAUAAAUCUCAGGACCCCCAAAUCACUAAGCCAAAUGAAAAAGUCAAGGUGGGAAUUGCAUCAGACAAUUUGCCUCACAUUUUAUUCCUAA